UUGAUAAUUUGUUGGUUAUUCCUAACUUCAGAUCCCAUUGAGGAUCUGGUCAGUGCUUUUUGUACCCCCAUAAAGUUUUGCCGACAAUUUCAGAGGCUUUUGGACACAAAUCUGUCUCCCUCUUCCUAAGUCUCCCGUAGAGUUUGUGAACUUCAGGUUAAAACCCCUGCUUGAGUUCUGCAUCAGCUCUCCAAGACUUAGCCGUAUCAAACUGUUAACUCUUCUGGAUUACAUGUUUUGCUUUUAAUAGAACUAUCCACCAUCACAACAGUAUUUUUAGUUUUGUAUUUUUUUAGGGGGAUGGGCAUAGUAAGAAAGGCUUUAUUUUCACCUCCUUUGAAUUGUAAUUAUUUGGAGCUUAUGGUGUCACCCUUUUAAUCCUGAAAUUGGGCCACAGCAACACGUCAUGCCAACAUCGAUGCCAUGGUUUUGUUUAUGGUCCACCAGCAUUAUAGUUUUUGUGCUGCCUUUUCUUUUCUAAGGAAAUAUAAAAAUGUUUAGCAUUAUCAUGAAAAAGGUGAGAAACCUUGAAACUAUUUGCCACCAGUGUAGCCUUGUGAAAAGAAAGGUGGCCGCUAAGAGUGGUAAUGUGUGCGACUUCCACAUCCCAGGGAAAUAAGACUUUAUAUUGCCCAGGUUUAGGGUGCUAGUGUUAUUAGAAAGAAGUUUUUUAAAGCUUUUCAAGUAGUGCUAUAUUCCAGCCUGAAUGGAAAUCAUAUCAUCCAAGGAAUAGUAUGUAAUGCUGAAAUAUAUGUGUAAAUGGACAUGUUUUAUUCAAACUGGAUAGAAGUUUUCUUACAAAAUAAUUGAUAAUUUGUUGGUUAUUCCUCACUUUAGGACCAAAUGGGCAAAUUACUAGGGAAAUUCUUGAUGAUUGGCAAUUUCAACCUCUUCCUUGCUGCGUGUUUUGAUCAUAUAGGAGAAGAAAGUUUAUUUUAAAAACUGAUUUAAGUUUUAAAAUAUAUUAUUUUCAUAUACUGUAUUUUAUAAGUUUUAGUUUUCUAAUAUGCUUUAAAAAUUAUGUACUCUACAACUAAAUCUAAUUCAAGGUCUCAGCUUUAAAAUGUCACUGAAAAAUAAAAGACCUAACAUGUUUU